AUUGAACGCUGGCGGCAGGCCUAACACAUGCAAGUCGAACGAGUGGCGGACGGGUGAGUAAUGUCUGGGAAACUGCCCGAUGGAGGGGGAUAACUCCUGGAAACGGUAGCUAAUACCGCAUACCCUCGGAUGUGCCCAGAUGGGGUUAGCGAGUGGGGGGGUGAACGGCUCACCUAGGCGACGACCCCUAGCUGGUCUGAGAGGAUGACCAGCCACACUGGGACUGAGACACGGUCCAGACUCCUACGGGAGGCAGCAGUGGGGAAUUUUGCACAAUGGGCGAAAGCCUGAUGCAGCCAUGCCGCGUGUAUGAAGAAGGCCUUCGGGUUGUAAAGUACUUUUAGCGAGGAAGCGUUACUUGCAGAAGAAGCACCGGCUAACUCCGUGCCAGCAGCCGCGGUAAUAC
rnacentral:rRNA from 1 species